UAGUAACUGCGAGUGAAGCGGGAAGAGCUCAAAUUUUAAAUCUGGCGGUCCUCGUGGUCGUCCGAGUUGUAAUCUAGAGAAGCGUUUUCCGCGCUGGACCGUGUACAAGUCUCCUGGAACGGAGCGUCAUAGAGGGUGAGAAUCCCGUCUCUGACACGGACUACCAGGGCUUUUGUGAUGCGCUCUCGACGAGUCGAGUUGUUUGGGAAUGCAGCUCAAAUUGGGUGGUAAAUUCCAUCUAAAGCUAAAUAUAGGCGAGAGACCGAUAGCGAACAAGUACCGUGAGGGAAAGAUGAAAAGAACUUUGGAAAGAGAGUUAAACAGUACGUGAAAUUGCUGAAAGGGAAACGCUUGAAGUCAGUCGCGUUGGCCGGGGAUCAGCCUUGCAAUCUUGUUGGGUGCAUUUCCUGGUUGACGGGUCAGCAUCAAUUUUGACCGUCGGAGAAGGGUUGAGGGAAUGUGGCAUCCUUCGGGGUGUGUUAUAGCCUUUGAUCGUAUGCGACGGUUGGGAUUGAGGAACUCAGCAUGACCCCUCGUGGGUUUGGGGCUUCGGCUCACAUCCAUGCUUAGGAUGCUGGCAUAAUGGCUUUAAGCGACCCGUCUUGAAACACGGACCAAGGAGUCUAACAUGCCCGCGAGUGUUUGGGUGUUUAAAACCCGAGCGCGUAAUGAAAGUGAAAGUUGAGACCUCUGUCGUGGAGGGCAUCGACGCCCGGACCAGAACUUUUGUGACGGCCCUGCGGUAGAGCGUGUAUGUUGGGACCCGAAAGAUGGUGAACUAUGCCUGAAUAGGGUGAAGCCAGAGGAAACUCUGG
rnacentral:rRNA from 1 species